rnacentral:rRNA from 1 species
UACGUAGGGCGCAAGCGUUGUCCGGAAUUAUUGGGCGUAAAGAGCUCGUAGGCGGCUUUGUCACGUCGAUUGUGAAAGCCCCGGGGCUUAACCUCGGGUCUGCAGUCGAUACGGGCUGGCGUAGAGUGUGGUAGGGGAGGAUCGGAAUUCCUGGUGUAGCGGUGAAAAUGCGCAGAUAUCAGGAGGAACACCGAUGGCGAAGGCAGGUCUCUGGGCCGAUACUGACGCUGAGGAGCGAAAGCGUGGGGAGCGAACAGG